GUGGGUGUAGUUCAAUGGCAGAAUACUAGCCUUCCAAGCUAGGUAUGUGGGUUCGAUUCCCAUCACCCGCUCCA
rnacentral:tRNA from 1 species